CUUCAAUAAAUGCACCAAUGAUUUUAAGAAUCAAUGAUCUCCAUAUCGGAGAUGCUUUACAUGUUGUCUCAUCUAAGAGAGCAUUUCUACUGGUAAAAAAACUAGAGAAAUGAUAAUUGAACACAAAAAUACUAACACAAAAACGACACUAGGGGUAGUCUUGUAAUUUAUAUCAAAAUCCAAUGGCAUAAUUGAGAUUACAAGUAGAAAUGAGGGGCAUUUUUUAUAACUUCUUCCUCUACUUCUUUCUCUUUCACUCUGAAUAGUCACCACCAUCAACUAUUCUCCCACCACCAUCUACCACCCUCCCACCAUCAUCCUCACCACCAGCCACAUAACCACCUUCGUCGGCACCAUGGUCCUCAAACUCGCCUUUUUUUUUUUCUUUCUUCAUCUCCCUACAACUUGUCUGCUUCUUCCCUUAUGUGCCGCCACCACCACUGUUCCGCCUGCAACCACCAUUUUGUCCUCUACGACCGCCACUUACUAAAACUCACAGAUCCGCCACCAACAAAUAGAUCUGAGCGGUCGUGCUAGAAAACUGUGAGAUCGAUCACCGACGAAAUCAGGAGACUGAGGCCAGCGAGGUCAGGAGAGUGACGUCGAUGAAUGGUCACCAGUGAGAGAGUUGUAGAGGAGAUAGAGAAGAGGAAGAGGAAGGGGUUUGCAAAUGAGAGAGAGGAGAGAGUGUUGUACGUGAGACUAUGAGAGUCUAAGAGCAGAAAAAACAAAAUAAGAGUAUAGGUGAACAGUAAAAUACGGUGAUGUCGUAUUUGUGUCUG
rnacentral:lncRNA from 1 species